rnacentral:rRNA from 1 species
CGCUUUUGGCUUUUGGCAGCGGUCCAAGUUCCUUGGAACAGGACGUCACAGAGGGUGAGAAUCCCGUACGUGGUCGCUAGCUAUUGCCGUGUAAAGCCCCUUCGACGAGUCGAGUUGUUUGGGAAUGCAGCUCUAAAUGGGAGGUAAAUUUCUUCUAAAGCUAAAUAUUGGCCAGAGACCGAUAGCGCACAAGUAGAGUGAUCGAAAGAUGAAAAAGCACUUUUGGAAAGAGAGUCAAACAGCACGUGAAAUUUGUUGAAAGGGAAGCGCUUGCAGCCAGACUUGCUUGCAGUUGCUCAUAGCACGUGAAAUUUGUUGAAAGGGAAGCGCUUGCAGCCAGACUUGCUUGCAGUUGCUCAUCCGGGCUUUUGCCCGGUGCACUCUUCUGCAGGCAGGCCAGCAUCAGUUUGGGCGGUGGGAUAAAGGUCUCUGACACGUUCCUUCCUUCGGGUUGGCCAUAUAGGGGAGACGUCAUACCACCAGCCUGGACUGAGGUCCGCGCAUCUGCUAGGAUGCUG